GUCUAUGGCUCAGGAUGAACGCUAGCUACAGGCUUAACACAUGCAAGGUCGAGGGGCAGCGGGAGGCUAGCUUGCUAGUCUGCCGGCGACCGGCGCACGGGUGCGUAACGCGUAUCCAACCUGCCGUGUACUCGGGGAUAGCCCUCUGAAAGGAGGAUUAAUACCCGAUGUGGUCAUUAGGAGACAUCUCCUGAUGAUUAAAGAUUUAUCGGUACACCGAUGGGGAUGCGUCUGAUUAGCUUGUUGGCGGGGUAACGGCCCACCAAGGCUACGAUCAGUAGGGGUUCUGAGAGGAAGGUCCCCCACAUAGGAACUGAGACACGGUCCUAACUCCUACGGGAGGCAGCAGUGAGGAAUAUUGGUCAAUGGGCGUAAGCCUGAACCAGCCAAGUAGCGUGAGGGAAGACUGCCCUACGGGUUGUAAACCUCUUUUAUGGGAGAAUAAAGUGAGCCACGCGUGGUUUUUUGUAGGUAUCCCAUGAAUAAGCAUCGGCUAAUUCCGUGCCAGCAGCAGC
rnacentral:rRNA from 1 species